rnacentral:rRNA from 1 species
CCUCGGAUCAGGUAGGAAUACCCGCUGAACUUAAGCAUAUCAAUAAGCGGAGGAAGGA